rnacentral:rRNA from 1 species
CCUACGGGAGGCAGCAGUGAGGAAUAUUGGUCAAUGGGCGCGAGCCUGAACCAGCCAAGUAGCGUGAAGGACGAAGGUGCCAAGCAUUGUAAACUUCUUUUGUCAAGGGACAAAAUCAGGCUCGAGAGCCUGACCGAGGGUACUUGAAGAAAAAGCAUCGGCUAACUCCGUGCCAGCAGCCGCGGUAAUACGGGGGAUGCGAGCGUUAUCCGGAUUUAUUGGGUUAAAGGGGUGCGUAGGCGGGCUGUUAAGUCAGCGGUAAAAGCCCGGGGCUCAACCCCGGCGAGCCGUUGAAACUGGCUGUCUUGAGAUGUCGAGAGGUAUGCGGAAUGCGCAGUGUAGCGGUGAAAUGCUUAGAUAUUGCGCAGAACUCCGAUUGCGAAGGCAGCAUACCGGCGGCGAUCUGACGCUGAGGCACGAAAGCGUGGGUAUCGAACAGGAUUAGAUACCCUGGUAGUC